GGCAGGUUUCUCCGGGAAUAGCCCGGGAGGCGACGUGGUUACGCAUGCGCCCCCAAGAGGCGGCCUCGAUUGUGCACCGCUUACCUUUUUUAAAGAAUUUGGUGGGAUUUGAGGCUUGGGCCUCUUCCGUCAAAUGCUCUUCUUGUCCCGGUCAUUUAGUCGUAAUGUAAGUCCGUCUCUGUCCGUGUCAGGGUUCAGCCUCAGUUUUGAGAGCCAAAGGGAAAGUAAUUUAAAAGCCCCUGCCUGCCGGAGUCCCGCUCAGGAGAGCUCUGUCUUACGCACACUCCCGGCACCUAGAAUCCAGUGUGGGUGAUAUUAUGGGUCUUGAUCGCCCUGGAAAGCUGUCAUUUGUUGCUGACAUAAGGGAAAAGAACAGUUCCCAAAGGCCUCCACGACAGAAGUAACUUUCUGGGUGGCCCUUGGGCCUGUUUCUGCUCGCUGACCAACCCUCUGUUCUGAGUCUUCCUCAGAUCUCCACGUAAUGAGCUCGCUGGAGUCUCCAAAGGAGAAGGUGCUACAAGCUGGUGGUCUGCAAAUGUCCAGCUUCCCUUUAGGAGCACAGCACUGUUGAGGGAAGAAAUCUCAACCAGAGAUAACAUAUCAGCAACUCUGAAUCAGAGCUGCUGCUGCCCUUUUGAGAGUCUGCAUGAAGAAAGUAGCAGAGGAUCUAGAAUGCGGAUCCCAGAAUGACUGUGUGGAACAAUGCCCCCGUCCACUCCCAUCAUCCUUAGAAGGCAGAAAGAAGUACAAGCUCACGGAGAAAUACGUUCUUGUUGCUUUACACCAGGCAAGUGUGGAGUUUUUCUUGUUCUACCAGCUGUGACCUUAAGACAUGUCACUGGUUUGCUACCUUUGCCCAAACCCCAGGAAAAUCGCUAGAGCACAGCCAUGAAAGCCUGGCCACUAUAGCAGAACAGAGACAAAUGGCAUGAAAGACUUCUCUGGUCUUUGAACAGGCAGAGAUUCACUUUAAAGGUGGGUAGGUAAGAAUGUGAAGCAGGUGUUGCUAUCUGCUUGUGUGGCUCCAGGGCCAGUAUUUCCUUAUGUGACUUGAGGGGUGAGAGAAGAAUCAGAUAGCAAUUCUGGGUUCUUGGUGGAUGGAUCCAUCAAGAUAAUAGGACACUAUGGCAAUUUCACAGAGAGGAUGUCAUGGCCAUUAGUGCUAUCAGAUGACAAGCUGUGACUAAGAUGACUCUGGCUAACCACCUAAUGCAAGAAAUGAAUGCUUUGGCUGCUCUGACAGCCUGAGGGGAGCAAGCCCGGGCGCCAGUUCUGUGUUCUCACUGCAGGGAUGAUCACUGUCCUCGGCGGGAAACGGAUUCUGCCCCCAUCCGCAGUCAGUAGCAGCCCCUUCCUGGUGGGUGGAUUCCAGGACUCUGCUCAGGUUUCCAUGCUGGAGGCUUCCACACAGGUGAUAUUAUCCCAUCUCCAAGAGGCAAUGGAGGCCCAGGGUUGCCGGUAAACUGAUCUGUCCCAGGGCCCCUAGCUAUGCGCUCCCUCCUUGUCCCUCUUGCUCACCGCUUCCUUAUUCCCUCACAUUUUGUCCUUAAUGAAAUUGUGGCACUCUGCAACAUACUCAGAACUACUAGUUCAGGGUCAAGAACAAACUCUCAACUGAUGAAUUUC